AGAACGAACGCUGGCGGCAGGCUUAACACAUGCAAGUCGAACGCUCGUAGCAAUACGGGAGUGGCAGACGGGUGAGUAACGCGUGGGAACAUACCCUCCGGUUCGGAAUAGCUCAGGGAAACUUGGAUUAAUACCGGAUACGGCUGAGAGGCGAAAGAUUUAUCGCCGGAGGAUUGGCCCGCGUUCGAUUAGCUUGUUGGUGAGGUAACGGCUCACCAAGGCGAUGAUCGAUAGCUGGUCUGAGAGGAUGAUCAGCCACAUUGGGACUGAGACACGGCCCAGACUCCUACGGGAGGCAGCAGUGGGGAAUCUUGCGCAAUGCGCGAAAGCGUGACGCAGCAACGCCGCGUGGGGGAAGAAGGCCUUCGGGUUGUAAACCCCUUUCAGUUGGGACGAAGCUUCGCCGGUGAACAGCCGGCUGGAGUGACGGUACCUUCAGAAGAAGCCCGGCUAACUACGUGCCAGCAGCCGC
rnacentral:rRNA from 1 species